GGUUGCCUCAGCUUUGAGCUCAUCAACCAUAGUGAGAGAAAGAUGUUUCCCACAGUACUCUCCAAGUGGCCUAUAGACCCAAGAUGCCUAUUUGGUAAAGGCAUGCUCCCACAGACCUCUGGUUCCAACCACGAGGCACCAUGAAGGCAACCACUUGGUGGGUCGGGAGUAUCUCCAAACGGGGAGUCCUUCAUCUGCCCUAAGUUUCUGCUUCGGAGCUCCUGCUACACCCUGAAGUCACUCUCAGGAAGAUAAGUUUCUCCCCACCCUCUAACAGGAAGAACGACCAGACCGAACAGGGCCUUCAUCUAAAAGAGCCCUCUCUCUCUUCCACAACAGGCUGACUUGUUUCUCCUUCAUUCCCUCUCCAUGCAGAGCAGGAGACUGUGCUGCACAGCAGAACUCUGAGGCCACUGAGGGGAGCCAGGAUUUGUGUUUCCUCUGGGGGAAAGGGCACCUCAGUGAAAAUUAGCUCAGAGUGAAUAUGGAGAGUACAGCUUUUCCUCGACAGCCUGGCAAGCCUGAUCCUACAUGGGUCCUGAAGCUUCAACAUCAGGAGAAAAAAAAAAAUCCUCAACUCCUACUGAUGGCUGCCACAGCUAAGUACUGAAAUUAGUCCAUUUGUCUAAGACUAUUGGAACCAAAUGGUCAAGGAACCCUUACUUCAGAGAGACGGUGUGAGGACAGGAAGGGGGCUGGAACUUACAACAACUUUUGGGAAGUCGAAUAAGGAUGUGACAGACAAUGCUGACAUGCUGACAGUCCCAGGCAGACAACGAACGCCCCAGCUCCUAUCUCCAGGGAAAAAGGCUGGGUAGAACAUCUUAACCUAGAUUGACAUCUUCAGAACUGGAAGGGUGCCCAUGACUAGAGCACCAGAGGCCUCAACUGUUCCACAACCCAAAUCAGAGGCCAAACACUAACCCCUGGUCUGACCAGCAAGAUGGUACCCUCCCAAAUACCUCAUGAUUCUGAGAGUCUCCUACAGCCUUGGAAAAGGAACAAAAUGCCAGUCCUAAGUGUUACCCAGAGAGCACCACCACCAUAUGCCUUGGCAAAUGUUCCCAUGGGGCAGCGCGAAAGUUUUCCAAAUGAAAUCAAAAGUUCCAGCCUGCCUUCGAGCUGAGAUGGUCAUCCUUCCCCACUGGAAUGGCUCUAAUUUCAGAGAAGAAACCCAACUGCUAGCAAGAUGCUGCUCAGCUGUCCAGAAUCCUAAAGCUCAGCAGAAGGUGAGAGAUUUGGAAAGAUGUCCAAGAAGAUUAUGGUCAAGAAGAUGUUUUAAAUGGCCCAAGAGGGAUGUCCGGUCUCAUUCUCUCCCACAUCCAGAAGUUCCGAUCACAUCAAUCGAAGUGCUAGAAUGGAUUCUACGGGGGGAAACCUUCCAGUUAACAUGUGCACCCCUCCCUCAGUUUCAGACACCUAGCAUUGAGAUCCAAAAGAAGGCAGAGUUCCACCCACCACUGAAGAUUCUGCAGGCUCCAGGGCUAGGCUCCUGGGGACCAGCAGCAAGCACACAGACAGAUAAGGUAAGCUGAGCUGACUAAAUGGCUUUGCCUAGAGCAGGUCUCAUCCCCGUUGGUCAGGACCCCCAGAGGGUUACCUAUCAGAUAACUACAAUACAAUUUGUAACAGUAGCAACAUUAGUUACGAAGUGGUAAUGAAAUGGUUUUAUGGUUGAGGUCACCACAGCAUGAGGAACUACAAUAAGGGUCACAGCAUGAGGAAGGGGGAGAGCCAUGGCUCAGUGCAUGAGUAGUGGUACCCAAAGGCAGGGGAAGUUCAGAACUCACUCUAGAGGGGUGGGACCAUCCAGGCCUGAACUCAGCAAAAAUCCGAGGUCAGUGUCUCUUCAUCACCUUGGCUCUGAUUCUGGGUAUCCAGCUUCCCACCAAUCCUGAUUGAUUUCCGAACCUUCCUCCAGGACAUUCAGUGAGAUACCUAAUAUCCUUCUGGUAGAUUUCUUUUCAGUUCAGCUAAAGUCACCUUCUACAUGCAGACCUAAGAACUGCCUUCACCCUGCAUUUACACACAGACCCCUGUGGCCCAUGAAACAACACUUCACUCAGGCCAAGGGGUUUCAGCUGGGGAUGUAGCUCAGCGCUAGGAUGUUUGCCUAACAUGCAGAAGGGGCCAGGGAGGAGAGAUGAAGGGUUGCCUCUCUCUAUCCCCCCCUGUGAAGAAUCUAAUUGCAAUACCUAUCACUACCCCAAAGAAUCAGAGCCACCUGAGAACCGCGAUGUGGCAAGUGCUGUGAAGACUACAACUCUGGCGCUUAAACUGAGCAGGCGCCUUGCAUUACACGGAUAUGUGUCAAAAAUAAAAAGCGAUCCCUGCUGUCCUGGACCUGCUCAGAGAAAGGUGGACUUGGGCUGGGGAAACCUAGGCUGUAGACCCUGCAGAAAGCUAUAUCCCAGGAAAUGCCACUCCCAACUCCAUGUACCCCCUCCACAGCAAAGCUUCCACAACUUAAUUCCUUAACCAAUAUGUCUUUCCAAACACUGUGUCUUGAUUUCCCGAGAACGGAUCAAUGGUGGAUCUACCUUAACCCAAUUUAAGAAAGUCUAAGGGAGAACUUCUCUCAAAAAAUGCAAUGCAGCAUAAUUUUGUGCACAAAAUCGCAGUCUCUGUUCUCAUCAUACACCAAGCUUUCUCCUCCUCGGGUUUUCCUGACGGCCUGGUUUCUUCCGUUCUCGACUCACUGCCUUCUCAGUCUCUGCUGUUGACUCUCUUCAGCCACAGCCUUUAGCCAGUGAUCUCCCCACUUCCUCCUCACAUGAAGUCAUUGACUCUGUGAGCUCCCACAGCUUUCUAUGUACUGGU